AGUCCUAGAAGCGGCAGCUCGGGAGUAUUAUGCAAAACUUUUGGAACGGCCUUCAUCAGCUGCUGAGUGUUUCUUUAUCCCGGGAAGAGAGAAAGUUAAACUUGAGGCUUCCUUGGUGCGUUUCCUUCCUCUGUACGGACGAGGCAGCGAAAGGACUCUCCUGGUUUUAAAUGACCCUCAGCAAAAAGACACAGUUUUAGCCAUUUAUUUGCACAAUUCUUGGUGGCCCGUUGAAGAUGUAGUGAAGACAGCUGAUCUGUCCCGAGAAGGG